UACGGGGGGGGCAAGCGUUGUUCGGAAUUACUGGGCGUAAAGGGCUCGUAGGGGGCCAACUAAGUCAGACGUGAAAUCCCUCAGCUUAACUGGGGAACUGCGUCUGAUACUGGAUGGCUUGAGUUUGGGAGAGGGAUGCGGAAUUCCAGGCGUAGCGGUGAAAUGCGUAGAUAUCGGGAGGAACACCAGUGGCGAAGGCGGCGAUCUGGGCAGAUACUGACACUGAGGUGCGAAAUCGUGGGGAGCAAACAGG
rnacentral:rRNA from 1 species